GACUUGGUAAGAACGGGACUAAACCCGCCUG
rnacentral:tRNA from 1 species